rnacentral:rRNA from 1 species
GUUUGAUCCAUGAUCAGAUUGAACGCUGGCGGCAGGCCUAACACAUGCAAGUCGAGCGGAAACGAUGGAAGCUUGCUUCCAGGCGUCGAGCGGCGGACGGGGGAGGAAUGCGCAGGAAUUUGCCCAGCAGUGGGGGAUAGCCCGGAGAAAUUCGGAUUAAUACCGCAUAUACCCUACGGGGGAAAGAGGGCCUCUCCUUGGAAGCUCUUGCUGUUAGAUGAGCCUGCGUAAGAUUAGCUAGUUGGUAAGGUAAUGGCUUACCAAGGCGACGAUCUUUAGCUGGUCUGAGAGGAUGAUCAGCCACACUGGGACUGAGACACGGCCCAGACUCCUACGGGAGGCAGCAGUGGGGAAUAUUGGACAAUGGGCGCAAGCCUGAUCCAGCAAUACCGCGUGUGUGAAGAAGGGUUUCGGCUCGUAAAGCACUUUCAGUAGGGAGGAAAGUUUAACGGUUAAUACCCGUUAGAUGUGACGUUACCUACAGAAGAAGCACCGGCUAACUCCGUGCCAGCAGCCGCGGUAAUACGGAGGGUGCAAGCGUUAAUCGGAAUUACUGGGCGUAAAGCGCGCGUAGGCGGAUGAUUAAGUCUCAUGUGAAAGCCCUGGGCUCAACCUGGGAACUGCAUGGGAUACUGGUCGUCUAGAAUACGGAAGAGGUGAGUGGAAUUCCUAGUGUAGAGGUGGAAUGCGUAGAUAUAGGAAGGAACACCAGUGGCGAAGGCGACUUACUGGACCAAUACUGACACUGAGGUGCGAAAGCGUGGGGAGCAAACGGGAUUAGAUACCCCGGUAGUCCACGCCGUAAACGAUGUCUACUAGCCGUUGGGAGACUUGAUCUGUCAGUAGCGAAGCUAACGCGUUAAGUUCUCCGCCUGGGGAGUACGACCGCAAGGUUGAAACUCAAAGGAAUUGACGGGGGCCCGCACAAGCGGUGGAGCAUGUGGUUUAAUUCGAUGCAACGCGAAGAACCUUACCUGGUCUUGACAUCCUACGAACUUACUAGAGAUAGUUUGGUGCCUUCGGGAACGUAGUGACAGGUGCUGCAUGGCUGUCGUCAGCUCGUGUUGUGAAAUGUUGGGUUAAGUCCCGUAACGAGCGCAACCCCUAUCUCUAGUUGCCAGCGAUUCGGUCGGGAACUCUAGAGAGACUGCCGGUGAUAAACCGGAGGAAGGUGGGGAUGACGUCAAGUCAUCAUGGCCCUUACGGCCAGGGCUACACACGUGCUACAAUGGAUAAUACAGAGGGUUGCGAACCCGUAAGGAGGAGCUAAUCUCAGAAAAUUAUUCGUAGUCCGGAUUGGAGUCUGCAACUCGACUCCAUGAAGUUGGAAUCGCUAGUAAUCGUGGAUCAGCAUGCCGCGGUGAAUACGUUCCCGGGCCUUGUACACACCGCCCGUCACACCACGGGAGUGGGUUGCAAAAGAAGUGGGUAGACUAACCUUCGGGGGCGCUCACCACUUUGUGAUUCAUGAUUGGGGUAAAGUCGUAACAAGGUAACC